UGGGGAAUAUUGGACAAUGGGCGAAAGCCUGAUCCAGCCAUGCCGCGUGUGUGAAGAAGGUCUUCGGAUUGUAAAGCACUUUAAGUUGGGAGGAAGGGCAGUAAGCGAAUACCUUGCUGUUUUGACGUUACCGACAGAAUAAGCACCGGCUAACUCUGUGCCAGCAGCCGCGGUAAUACAGAGGGUGCAAGCGUUAAUCGGAAUUACUGGGCGUAAAGCGCGCGUAGGUGGUUCGUUAAGUUGAAUGUGAAAGCCCCGGGCUCAACCUGGGAACUGCAUCCAAAACUGGCGAGCUAGAGUAGGGCAGAGGGUGGUGGAAUUUCCUGUGUAGCGGUGAAAUGCGUAGAUAUAGGAAGGAACACCAGUGGCGAAGGCGACCACCUGGGCUUAUACUGACACUGAGGUGCGAAAGCGUGGGGAGCAAACAGG
rnacentral:rRNA from 1 species